rnacentral:ncRNA from 17 species
GCGGACGUAGCUCAGUUGGUAGAGCGCAACCUUGCCAAGGUUGAGGUCGCGAGUUCGAGCCUCGUCGUCCGCU